rnacentral:rRNA from 1 species
CUCCAAAGGAAUUGACGGGGCCGCCCGCACAAGCGGUGGAGCAUGUGGUUUAAUCGAAGCUACGGCGAAGAACCUUACCAGGUCUUGACAUACUAUGCAAAUUCUAAGAGAUUAGACGUUCCCUUCGGGGACAUGGAUACAGGUGGUGCAUGGGUUGUCGUCAGCUCGUGUCGUGAGAUGUUGGGUUAAAGUCCCGCAACGAGCGCAACCCCU